GAUUUUUUUUUUGUGAUGCAGGAAGAAAGGGAUCACUUCUCCCAUUUAUUGUAGACUUAAGAGAAGCGAAAGUAGGAGGAAGCCUAGGAGGGCCAUCUGAGCAAAAGCUCAGAAAUCGAUUAAUUCACUGCUUAUAUCUCUGGCUUGCUAGUAGGUCAUUUCAUAUAAUCUUUUUUUUAGCAUCAGUACAGACACAAGCGCUCAUAUACACGCGCAUACCCUCACCCCUAUGAACGUAUACACGCACACCCUACCCAUAUGAGCACCUCCGAGAGACUGAGCCGGCAUAUCAUCUUGAGAUUUACGAAGUCACCGUAGGCGCCUCGUCGUCGACGGGAACGUCUCCUCCCACUGAAAGCGCAUCGCCGAGAAUCCUGAAAUAAAUCCAGAAAUAAUGCGAGCACCAGGAUUUGAACCCUGAUGGGUUGGGGAUACCACUGUCCACCUAACCAACUCAACCACAGGUUGAUUCGCGAUCAUUUCAUAUAAUCUAGGACCCCAAUGUUAGGCGAUUCACCCAAUAUUAGGGCCCUUUAUUCGUUCUCUAGUGGGCCGAAUGACCAGUCAACCCUUUCAUCUGUUGGGGGUUGCGGGAGGAGCGAAGGAUCCAGCCAGACAUCGUGGAAAAAAGUGGGGUAGGACCAAAAUAGUAUACUUUUUCAACAAAAAUGACAUUAACAAAAAUAAAAAUAAAAAACGGAUGCAAGAAAAGACAAAAGAGAAAAAACAUAAAUUACAACUGCCACGCCCCUAUUAUAUAUAUAUAUAUAUAUAUAUAUAUAUAUAUAUAAUACCAUGGUUUACUUUAUAAAAAUGUUUUAGCUACAUAAGUCCAAUAAAUUUGCCAUGGCCCAAACACAAUUUCGUUUUUAUGAAAAACCAAAAUUCAACCCUCUUAAUAAUUAAAAUUCCAUCCUCUUAAUAAUAAAGUCUCAUGCUCCCAAGUAAUAAAACUACCAUCAUGUUAGUAAUAAAAUGGUCAUCCUCUUAAUGAUAAAAAUUCCGUGUUAUUAAUAAUAAAAAAUACCAUACUAUUAAUAAUAAAAACUUCCAUCCUAUUAAUAAUAGAAAUCCCAUGUAAUUAAUAAUAAAAAAUGUCAUGUUAUAAAUAAUAAAAAAUGCCAUGCGCUUAACUACAAAUGCUACCAUCUUAAAUAAUAAUACAAAUGCCAUGUUAUUAAUUAUUAAAAUGUCAUACUCUUGAUAAUAAAAUUUCCAUGUGAGAAAGUAAAAAACCAAAACCAAAAUUGCCAUGUGUAAAUGACAAAAAAUCCCAAAGCUUGCAAUGGGGGCAUUACAAAAAUACCUAAAAAAUGCCAUCUGUUGAAAGGCAAAAAAUGUCAUGGUUUAAACCAAAAGAAAUUGCCAUGCUACCAAUAAUAAAAAAAUGCACAUGGAAAGUUUAGAAAAAAAAACCAUCCAAAAAAUAGGGAUUUUUGUUUGUUCAUGGAAAAAGGGGCAUUUGGAAUUUUUAAAAUGAAAAACGAAUAAAAAGAUUUUAUCUUCGAAUACAUAAAGUUGUUUAAGCAUAAGUGUUCACAAAACCGCUUCAAUCGAGGUGAUAAGAGCAUCUCUAGCAGACCCUGUAUAACGUCGACCUGCAAAAUGCGUUUACAGUUUGCGAAAAAAUGGCUCUGCGGGGCAGCGCGGACGGCCGCAGAGUCAGACCCCGCAAAACGGACCCGUAAAAAAGAUAUUCGCGGAAUGUGCUCUUUUACGGGUCGGCUUUGCGGGGUCUGCUCGGGCGCCGCUCCCGCCGGCCCGCAAAUCUGAAAUUUACAAUUCAAUUUCACACAUAAAAAUACAUUUCUUUGCUUUUUUAUUUUCUUCAAUGGCAUUGGAUACAUAGUAAUUCACCAAAUCUUUGCUAGAAUAGUAAGACCAAAUAAAACAAGAACCAUAAUUAUACAUUUUAGAAGAUAUCCAACUUCCAUAUAUAACUGCUCCCACUAGUUGGACCAAUAUUUUCUUCAUGCAUUCGUUGUUGAUCUGCGGAUUCUUGAUUGCAUUCUUCAUUCUUUUUCUUUGGUUCUAAAGAAGUAGACGUUGUUUCUCCUCUAUUUUCUUCUCUAAUUGCACAUGCAGCCGCAUCAUUAGCCUCAAUUCUACUAAGAAGUGCACGAACAUCUAUUAAGUUCCUUUCUAUCAAUAAAUCAAUGUAUUCUCAUUCCCAAAACUAAAAUGAGCAUCCAUCUUCCUACACACAUGAUGAUGUUCAAAAUGAGCUAUCGCAAUUGAACCAAAGUAUACGGUGACAAAGCCGAAUGAAAACAACACAUACCCCAUCGUUUUCGCAUUUGAAGAACACCUAUCCGGGGUGCUUCGGCGUGCCAGAAGUUAGUCGUAGCACUGUCCGCGUGCAGUCGUCGCACUGUAUGAGCGGCAUCGGCCAGCCGCUGCGCGAGCGCCGAGCCCGGCGGCCGGCCGGCCGAAUCCCUGCCGGCAAACCAGCGGCGGCAACUACAAGACGAACCCGUACCUGCAUGCGACGAUGGGGCUUUACCGGGGCCGCGCGGGUGCUCCGCGACCAAUCCAUGGCUUGGCGCAGCGACCGUCGGCCGGAAAAGCCAAAUCCGGCCGCCUGCGUCGAACAGUCGCCGAUCUGCAACUUUCCGGCCCACCGACGCAGGAGGAAGUGGCGGAGGGCAACCUCGGGCGUGUGGCGGCCCUCCGGCGUGAUCCCACCAACUACUUUGACCAAAAUCGUAGGCAGCGGCCCGACUGCGGGGCGAGGGGUAGAGGGGCGGCGGUGGGUGGGGAACGGGCCGAGGGGCGAAACCCGUGUUUCCACGGGUUGGGACUGGAAUUAUGCCGCGUCCCGCAAAAAAAUUUAUGGGUCAGACGCAUUUGCAGAGUCUGGUCGGGCAGAAUUUUUCGUGCCAACACGUAAUUUAACGGUUAUUUUACGGGUCGUGACUUUUUAGGAGGUCUGCUAGAGAUCCUCUAAGCGUGCAGCCACUCCUCAAGAAGGUUUGGGUUUGAGACCCCCACCUCGUGCAUGUCCCUUGUAUUUUUUAAGAGGAAAAGGGAAGGGUGUUUAUCAUUUUGCUGUAGCGCGUAUGAAAAGCUGACGUGGUACAAGGCUUGCGCCACCAUUCAUGCGAUAAAAAAGGACAUAUCUAUCUAGACGGCAACCAGCAUGUUCACUAGGAAAACAUCAACAUUGAGCGUUCGCCGGAUAUCAUUUUUCGAAUCUAUUGUAGGAGAAUCAGCUUGGGACGCAGCUUGUUUGUUAGCGGUUUAGCUUCUGGGUGGCAGGAAACUAGGAAUCGAUAGUAGAAGACCAAACAAAGGCCUAUUAAUUAAAUGCACUAGACUUUUCAAGUUAGAAGUCCGAAAAAGAUCCAUACUUAAACUUCCUACAUAUCUCGUUGAGGAAAGGAAUCAAGAAACAUUUCCAAAUCAAAAGGAAAUUAAGAACGGGCAACCAAAAUGCACUGCUUGGAAGCAAGCUCUGUCUGACAACACUGAAACAGGCAAUCCAGAUCCAUAGGUGACAAAGCAUGAAGACAGCAUUGCAGAUGAUAUGUUAUCUCGAAUCUCCUUGGUGGCUUUAUCUCGUGACCAGUACUCAUAGUUACACCAGGGCUCUAGCUUUAGACCCUGUAGGAGAAUAUCAACACUUGUGGUCAGCUGAUGUAACUUCAAUGGUAAAUAGCGCCACUUGAAAUAUCAGAUGAAACAGCUAUUUUGGUGAAACAUUCAAUUUCCUUUACCAGAUGAAAAUUUUCUGUUGCUUUACCAGAUGGAAUUUUUCAUUCACCAAGUUUAGAAGUUUCUGGACAUUAUUAAAAAAAUAUGUCGGGGG
rnacentral:lncRNA from 1 species